UUUUAGCCCCGAUAGCAGUGAAAAUCCUUUUUAUUUUUCUUUAAAAAUAAAAAGAUUGCAACGGAUAGCGGGAAGCAGC
rnacentral:sRNA from 1 species